GAAAUUUUGGACAUGGGCGAAAGCCUGAUCCAGCAAUACCGCGUGUGUGAAGAAGGCCUGAGGGUGUGUAAAGCACUUUCAAUUGGGAGGAAAACAGGCGAGGAUGAAUAUCUCGUCUCUUGACAUGUACCUUUAGAAGAAGCACCGGCUAACUCCGUGCCAGCAGACACAGCGGUAAUA
rnacentral:rRNA from 1 species